UGGUGGAGUGAUUUGUCUGGUUAAUUCCGUUAACGAACGAGACCUCGACCUGCUAAAUAGUACGCCGAACUCUUUGGGUUCGUGCGGCACUUCUUAGAGGGACUAUCGAUUGUAAGUCGGUGGAAGUUCGAGGCAAUAACA
rnacentral:rRNA from 1 species